rnacentral:rRNA from 1 species
CUAAUACAUGCAAGUCGAACGCUUUGUGGUUCAACUGAUUUGAAGAGCUUGCUCAGAUAUGACGAUGGACAUUGCAAAGAGUGGCGAACGGGUGAGUAACACGUGGGAAACCUACCUCUUAGCAGGGGAUAACAUUUGGAAACAGAUGCUAAUACCGUAUAACAAUGACAACCGCAUGGUUGUUAUUUAAAAGAUGGUUCUGCUAUCACUAAGAGAUGGUCCCGCGGUGCAUUAGCUAGUUGGUAAGGUAAUGGCUUACCAAGGCGAUGAUGCAUAGCCGAGUUGAGAGACUGAUCGGCCACAAUGGGACUGAGACACGGCCCAUACUCCUACGGGAGGCAGCAGUAGGGAAUCUUCCACAAUGGGCGAAAGCCUGAUGGAGCAACGCCGCGUGUGUGAUGAAGGGUUUCGGCUCGUAAAACACUGUUGUAAGAGAAGAAUGACAUUGAGAGUAACUGUUCAAUGUGUGACGGUAUCUUACCAGAAAGGAACGGCUAAAUACGUGCCAGCAGCCGCGGUAAUACGUAUGUUCCAAGCGUUAUCCGGAUUUAUUGGGCGUAAAGCGAGCGCAGACGGUUAUUUAAGUCUGAAGUGAAAGCCCUCAGCUCAACUGAGGAAUUGCUUUGGAAACUGGAUGACUUGAGUGCAGUAGUCAGAAAGUGGAACUCCAUGUGUAGCGGUGAAAUGCGUAGAUAUAUGGAAGAACACCAGUGGCGAAGGCGGCUUUCUGGACUGUAACUGACGUUGAGGCUCGAAAGUGUGGGUAGCAAACAGGAUUAGAUACCCUGGUAGUCCACACCGUAAACGAUGAGUGCUAGGUGUUUGAGGGUUUCCGCCCUUAAGUGCCGCAGCUAACGCAUUAAGCACUCCGC